rnacentral:rRNA from 1 species
AACCUGCGGAGGGAUCAUUACAGAGUUCGUGCCCUUCGGGGUAGACCUCCCACCCUGUGUCGUUAUACCUUUUGUUGCUUUGGCGGGCCGCGCGCGGCUCCGGCCCCGCCCCUGGCUUCGGCGAGGGCGUGCCCGCCAGAGGACCCCCCAAACCUGAAUGUUAGUGUCGUCUGAGUACUAUAGAAUAGUUAAAACUUUCAACAACGGAUCUCUUGGUUCUGGCAUCGAUGAAGAACGCAGCGAAAUGCGAUAAGUAAUGUGAAUUGCAGAAUUCAGUGAAUCAUCGAAUCUUUGAACGCACAUUGCGCCCCUCGGUAUUCCGGGGGGCAUGCCUGUUCGAGCGUCAUUACAACCCUCAAGCUCUGCUUGGUCUUGGGCGUCACCGGCCCCCGGUGUGCCCUAAAGCCAGUGGCGGCGCCGUCUGGCUCUAAGCGUAGUACACACUCUCGCUAUGGACGCCCGGCGGCUGCUCGCCAGCAACCCCCAUCUAUAUCAAGGUUGACCUCGGAUCAGGUAGGGAUACCCGCUGAACUUAAGCAUAUCAAUA